CCCUUAGAUGUCCUGGGCCGCACGCGUGCUACACUGACACUUACACCGAGUUUUUCCAAUGCCGAAAGGCCAUUGGUAAUCAGCAAUAAGUGUCGUGAUGGGGAUAGAUCUUUGGAAUUAUUGAUCUUGAACGAGGAAUGCCUAGUAAUCGUAGGUCAUCAGCCUGCGAUGAUUACGUCCCUGCCCUUUGUACACACCGCCCGUCGCUCCUACCGAUUGAAUGGUCCGGUGAAGCGUUCGGACCGUGGCCUUUGGACGGUUCGCCGUCUGUUGGCUGCGGGAAGUUCGUUAAACCUUAUCAUUUAGAGGAAGGAGAAGUCGUANCA
rnacentral:rRNA from 1 species